CUGACUUCAGCUGCAGAAAAAGGGAGCUGUGGAGAUGCCAGCAGCUGGCUCUGUGGAGGAAGACGCAAGAACAUCGCUUCCGAGACAGGAUACCAGACAGGGCUGGGAAGCUGUGGGUUCUCAGGCAAAGAGCUGAAAGAUGCUGUCGCUCAGGUCAGGGGAGAAGAGCAGGAGGGCUGGAUCCUUGAUGGUCUCGGAGUUAAGGAGGAGAAUGCAGCUUGGACCCACAGGCCCCUCCCUCAGCAUGCAAAGAUUUCAACCUGGGGCAUCGAGACUGCUGAUGAGGCCAAGAAAAGGCUUUUACUCACACAGUUAAGCUUAGGACCAACUGGAGAGAGUGAACUAUGUGCCCUAAGCAACCACAGAGGGUGGAUGCAUCGCCUCUGAACAGCCCAUUUCCUUCCAGCUUGCCUGGCCAGCAGCCUCUGGUCAGCACACACCUGACACCUUCUCUUUUCUGCUAUGAAGCUUCCCCACUCCUCUGCCUGCCUAUGAGUCUCUGCCAGAACGCACGUGAUGGCAGCAGAUUCCCUUGCUAUAGCUAGUUCUGAAUAAACAGUUUUUGCUUGUUC